GAUGAACGCUGGCGGCGUGCUUAACACAUGCAAGUCGAACGGUGAAGCAGGAGCUUGCUCUUGUGGAUCAGUGGCGAACGGGUGAGUAACACGUGAGCAACCUGCCCCUGACUCUGGGAUAAGCGCUGGAAACGGCGUCUAAUACUGGAUAUGUGAUGUGACCGCAUGGUCUGCAUCUGGAAAGAAUUUCGGUUGGGGAUGGGCUCGCGGCCUAUCAGCUUGUUGGUGAGGUAAUGGCUCACCAAGGCGUCGACGGGUAGCCGGCCUGAGAGGGUGACCAGCCACACUGGGACUGAGACACGGCCCAGACUCCUACGGGAGGCAGCUGUGGGGAAUAUUGCACAAUGGGCGGAAGCCUGAUGCAGCAACGCCGCGUGAGGGAUGACGGCCUUCGGGUUGUAAACCUCUUUUAGCAGGGAAGAAGCGAAAGUGACGGUACCUGCAGAAAAAGCACCGGCUAACUACGUGCCAGCCGCCGCGGUAA
rnacentral:rRNA from 1 species